rfam:Tamlana sp. s12 contig9, whole genome shotgun sequence.
UAAGUAAAUCGCCUUAUCGCUCUUUUGCUAAAUUUGUUUUAGUAUGAAGGGAGGAAAGUCCGAACACCAUAGUGCAACAUAGUGGUUAAUGGCCACCAGUCGUGAGAUUAGGAAAAGUGCAACAGAAAGUAUGUACAGGUAAUGCUGUAGUGAAACCGGGUAAACUCUAUGUGGUGCAAUGUCAUGUAAACUAGCGCUUGAAGGCUGCACGUCUGAUGCUAGAGGGUAGGCAGCUAAAGUGUAUGGGUAACUAUACAUUCAGAUAAAUGAUAAGGGUGAUUUUAGUUUUAUUUUAGAUUAAAAUCAUACAGGAUUCGGCUUAUAGAUUUACUUUCAAA